ACGUGCGCUUAGCACAGCCCAUCUCUUACCGGUACAUCUCCAAUGGUGGUCUCUGGAGGAAAGGUUGCAGUGCAGUCUUCAUGUCCUCAGCAGGAAUGUUGAUGGCUGAUGCUGGAUCGAUGUUUGCGCCAAGAAGCAUACCAUGCAUACUCUAAAAAACAUUGCUUCGAGUUGCAGUGAGUUUUUUCCCCACUAUCCCAAAUGGAAAAAGGAGUAGCUUUAAAUAGCUUUAAGACAUUUAUAGACUUUAUGGUGUUUCAAAAAGUGGUCCCAAACAUAAUGGUCAAAAAACUACCAUGCGCAUUCCCAGGUCUUAGUUCUCAACAAAUAACAGGAUAACUUAUCGUUUGUGUUACCAUGAUAUGAUUCCAAAUUGAUUACUUGGAAACUAUCAUGUCCGUUACCAUGCUAUGAUACCUGACAGGACUGGACAACUUAAUGUGUCUUGUACCAUACAGUGAUUCCCAACAAAUUGAUGGACAAUAUACUACAAGUUUGAGUCUGUUAGAUUUGUUCUAAGCUUUGAAUUCCAUUGUAUAACCUUGAUAAAAAUUUUUAAGCUCACCUGAACCUGAGGCUCAAGUGAGCUUUUCGGAUCAAAAUUUGUCUGUUAUCUGUCAUUGUUGUUUGUGGUAGUGGUAAACUUUUCACAUUUGAAAUUAUCUUCCGCGUCAGUGGGUGAUGUUAAAAAAUGUUCUUCAAUGUUCGCUACCUUUAUAACCCGCAUGAAUCAUCAAAGAAAGCACAUUAUUGUUUAUAUUUACAUCUUUCUUUUAACAAAUUAUUAAAAUGAAAAUUCACUUAAUUACUGUUAAUGUACAUCUGUACGUUACCUAAAAGAAACAGCCGAAUCGUCUCCUUUGGGAAUUUGAGUCUAACAUUAUCAUGAUUAUUUCAUGCAGUCCAUUAUUUAUCUUGCGUUGCUGUAGUUUUUGACAUAGUUUUUAAAUGGGGUAGAUUUCAGUCUGGUUGUUUCUAUAGAGCUAUGAAUAAAGUUUCCGUAAAAAUAGAGGGAAUCAUACUCAGUCGAUGUAAAUAUUUAAGAAUAAUUACAAAUUUGUUGACAUUAUAUAAAAAUUUUAUUCUCAUAAUCCAUCUGUCCAGAAAAGCUAAUUUUUGUGUGGAAGCAUCCUAAGGUAGUGCAGAUUUGUGUUUAAAUCAUGAUCUGGAAGGGGGGGGGUAUGAUUGGGCCACAAAGGAAGGGGGGGGGGUCAUAUUCUUACAAAGAAAUAUAUAGUAAAACAUUUUUAAGAAUCUUCUUCUCUAAAACCUAUUAGCCAGAAAAAUUUUAACUGAAGUGUAAGCAUCGUCAAGUAUUUGUAUAUUCAAGUCUAUUCAAAUCCCAAGGGUAAGAUAUGGGCCAUAAGGCAGGAUUAAAUUUAACAUAGAAAUAUAAAGAGGAUAAUUAUUUAGAAUCUUUAUCUUUUAAAGGGCCUCAAUAUUAAAUGUUUAAUGUCCAAAAAAGGUGAAAAAAUUAAACUAUACAUAUUUUUCUUACAAAAUAUUUUGAAAGAUAUUUUAUAUUUUACUUAUUACACUGUAUAUUAGUUGGCCAUUGUUGCUCGGGUGAGUGAUGUGGCCCUUAGGCCUCUUGUUCUUCAAUGGAAAAUUUGCAUUUUUGAUUCUUUUUAUAAUUUCUGUUUUGAAAAUUUUUGGUACAUUAUGAAGAAUAAAAUAAAAUGCUGUGUUUUCCAUUUGU
rnacentral:sRNA from 1 species